GGAGCUGACAUCGACUUCCGAGCGCGGAUCGAACCUUCGAUCGCGCCGAUUUGCAUAGCGGCCCCGCGCCCGACUGCAGCCCCCCGCGCAGGCCGGCCGGGCGCUCCCGGGAGCCGUCCUCGCUCCGUGCCCGGGAGGGUGGAGCUGUCACGGGCGCGCGGCGGGCGCGAAGCGAGGGAGUCGAUCUCCGCCGGCACCAGGCUGAGCCAGGGCGCCUGGGGCCCUGCUGCGGACCGUGCGGAGGACAGGGGCAGAUCCCGAACGCGAACCCCACGGCGGGCCCCGACGCCACACGCCCUCGCGGCUUGUAGCCACAGCGAAUUAUUGCUCAUUUGAUACCAAGAAUUCUAUUGACCACGCUUUCGUUGGAGAGAGAAUUCUAACUGCUAGCUACUCUGUCCUCACCAGAGCUUGGGUGGAGAGGAGCCCUCCACAGGCUGAAACCAGUGCUCAGAGCCCUCUGCUCUGAAGCCCAUGGAGAUGCACUCAGUACACUGGCCCACGUGGACAUUCGUAGAAACCUGCUUGCUAUUCUGCUGGCCAGCUUGCUAUUCUGCUGGCCGCCUCUUUGGAACGGAGCUGCCAGCUCAUUUGCCUCUCAUAACCUUCCUGGCAACUUCUUGCCAGCUCUGCCAUAUUAGGUGAUGAAAUGAUGCAGACAGUAGAUCCUGCUCAAUUCUAUGGUCACCAGCACCACUACCCGCAGCGUGGACACUGGGAGAAAUCAUUAACACCUUCCUGCCUCAAAAAAAGUAUCUAGAUGAGUGGAAUCAUGGUCUGAAUAUAAUUUGCUAAAUUUCACCGUACUAGCCAACCCCACCCUGUCCAGACUCCAGAUCACUGCAGCAGGGUAUAGCAUGGGAGCUGGGCACAGUAAGGUCUGCUGUCCCCUGCACACAACGGGCACCCAGCGUCCAUGGAAGGCCUGACCUCUGACCCUGGGCCAGCUGCUCCAGGCUGGGGCUGCCCCAGCUACAGAGAGAGCCCAGAAGGUUUGCUUCCCGGGAAGCUGCUGGCCAAAGAUUCUGCCUUUGCUCUGGAAGGAGCCAGUGCCACAAAACCCAGGCCAGUUUGUCACCCAUAUGCCUGUCAUUGUCCUGGUCCUGUCCUGAGAGGCCUCCAUUCUUGCAAGAUGGGGGGAAACCACCCUCCCAGGAUGUACUGGCCCCGGGACUGGGCAUCUGAAGGGCCUGUCAGCAUUUCCAGGAGCAAGGGAUCCGGUCCAUCCCCACAGCUCCUGAAGCCCCGGCCCCACAGACUUGGGUGUGCUUGGCGGAACUGUGUCCCUGGAGCCUCCGUGGAGAACUGCAUGCCACAGCUCCCCAGGUUGGGUUCAGAUCGGAGAGGAAGGUCAAGGGCCAGUUCCACGAAGAGCGCUGGGCCUCCAACAGCAUCCGCUCCCAACAGAGGCGUAUUCAGGGGUUGAGAUCAAUAUUCCAAGGCACUGGGAAUGUCCAGUGUGAAGCUAGAUCACUUGUGAAGCUCCCAGGGUGCCACCCUUCCUCUGGGCUCCAGGACGGUGGGGAGUGUGCACGAGAUACAUACUGUGAGCUCUGUUUUUGUUUUCAACAUAGAUAACCCUGGUGUGUCAUCAGCACGUACCCAGAGCAGUGUCGUUCCCCAGUGUGUACACUGCCCACAGAGACUCCCGGCUCAGCCCAGAUCGACAGUCUUCCUGAGAGCCUCCACGGCCAGAUGACCCACCCACGCUCAACCAGACCCGGCAGUUACUGCUCCCUUCCUGGCCAGUGGUGGAUCUGCGAGGCUGCAGAGCCAGCCAGAAAUCUUCCUUGCUGCUGAGGUCCAGAAAGCAAUAAAGCAGUAAUAACCUCAGAGUUAUUUAGGGGAACAAGAUCUGAGACUUGGGCUUGAGUUAAAGUCAGGGCCACAUCCUCUGGCAUUUCUUUGGAAGAAGGCAGCACUGAGAACUGCUGGCUGGCCGGUCGCUGCAGCCCAGUGGAGACAAGGGAGCUCUCCUCUGACUGACUGCUCCUUAGAGGACCAAAAAGGCACUCUGACGCCUGCCCAGCAGGGGCCUCUGAGACUCCCUACACCAGUGCCUCCCAGCCACCCAACUGGCCUCCUUCCUAGCCUGCCAGGCCAAUGGAACAAGCAGAACUCAAUAGUAAAUUAUUUUGUUGAGCCCUCUGUCUUUUUAUGAAAAUAAAAGCCAACACUUUGUCAUUUUUAAUCACAUAAGCAGACAAUAAAUCUAAUUUUGAUAUUGAUUUUUUUCCAGAAUCAAGUGAUUUUUUUUGCCCUGUCUGUUGUGUUUCCUUU